rnacentral:ncRNA from 1 species
AAGAUAGAGGUUGCGUUUUUCAAUAGUAUGCUUUUUGGAUGCGGCAGGAGCAGAUGAGAGAAAGCGGAAAGGGAAAGACGCCGAAAGAGGAAGUUGCCUGUCGACUGAGUCUUGGGCAUGCAGUUAAGAACUGUAUGACUGUCAUCCGAUAAUCGGAUGGGGCGCUAUCGGA